AGAAUCAACGCUGGCGGCGUGCCUAACACAUGCAAGUCGCACGAGAAAGUGGAGCAAUCCGCGAGUAAAGUGGCGCACGGGUGAGUAACACGUGAAUAAUCUACCUCCGAGUGGGGAAUAACUGAGAGAAAUCUUAGCUAAUACCGCAUAACACUUACGAGUCAAAGCAGCAAUGCGCUUGGAGAGGAGUUCGCGGCCGAUUAGUUAGUUGGCGGGGUAAUGGCCCACCAAGACGAUGAUCGGUAUCCGGCCUGAGAGGGCGCACGGACACACUGGAACUGAAACACGGUCCAGACUCCUACGGGAGGCAGCAGUGGGGAAUUUUGCGCAAUGGGGGAAACCCUGACGCAGCAACGCCGCGUGGAGGAUGAAUAUCUUGGUAUGUAAACUCCUUUCGAUGGGGAAGAUAAUGACGGUACCAUAGAAGAAGCCCGGCUAACUUCGUGCCAGCAGCCGC
rnacentral:rRNA from 1 species